CGGGACGGGUGAGUAACGCGUGGGUAACCUGCCUGUACAGGGGGAUAACAGUUGGAAACGGCUGCUAAUACCGCAUAAGCGCACGGCAUCGCAUGAUGCAGUGUGAAAAACUCCGGUGGUAUAAGAUGGACCCGCGUUGGAUUAGCUAGUUGGUGAGGUAACGGCCCACCAAGGCGACGAUCCAUAGCCGACCUGAGAGGGUGACCGGCCACAUUGGGACUGAGACACGGCCCAA
rnacentral:rRNA from 1 species